CUCAUCCAUGGCACACCUGGCAUGGGUGAACUCCUUCAAUGUGCCACACCUGCAGCUGGUGGACGAUGGCCUCACGGACCUCCACAGCGGUCCCACAAGACCCGCAAGGCCCCCCCACUGCUCUCUUAACCUGGCAGCUGCUGCCUUAUAAAAGUACAGUUGUGAAUUUGACUCCACGAAGUAUUAUGCAUUGUGUGGCUCUCGUGGGGUCUUAGGUUGUGGUCUGACACACACUGCGGUCAUUCCCCUGGGUUUAGUGAAAUGCUGUAUGCAGGUGGACCCCCAAAAGUAGAAGGGCAUAUUUAAUGGAUUCUCAGUUACACUUAAGGAGGAUGGUGUUCAUUCUUUGGCUAAAGGACAGGCUCUGACUUUCAUUGGCCACUCCAUGCAGGUGUUCUGCAAGUUUGGCUUUUAUGAAGUCUUUAAAGUCUUGUAUAGCAACAUACUCCCAGAGCAUGUUAUCUCUGGUGCACAUCACUGUAUUUGGCUGCCUCUGCCAGUGCUGAAUUCUUUGCUGUAAUUGCCCUAUGGAAGCUGCUAAGGUUCAAAUUCAAACCCAACCAGGUUAGACCAAGACUUUGAGGGAUGCAGCUCCCAAGAUGUAUAAGGAAGAAGGCCUAAAAACAUUCUACAAAGGGGUUGCUCCUCUCUGGAUGAGACAGAUAGCAUAUGCCAUGAUGAAGUUUGCCUGCUUUUAAGGUACUGUUGAAGCAUUGUACAAGUUUGUGGUUCGGAAGCCCUGUGGUGAAUGUUCAAAGACAGAGGAGCUGGUUGUAACAUUUGUAGCAGGUUACAUACCUGGAGUGUUUUGUGCAAUUGUUUCUCACCCUGAUGAUUCUGUGGUAUCUGUGUUGAAUAAAGAAAAAGGUAGCAGUGCUUC
rnacentral:lncRNA from 1 species